CGGGGGAGCGUUCGCGCUUCCGCCGGCGACCGGCGCACGGGUGAGUAACACGUAUGGAACCUGCCCGCAGCAGGGGGAUAAUCGGGGGAAACCCCGUCUAAUACCGCGUAACGACCCGGAGGGGCAUCCCUUCGGGUCCAAAGGUUUACCGGCUGCGGAUGGCCAUGCGUCGCAUUAGCUUGUUGGCGGGGUAACGGCCCACCAAGGCGACGAUGCGUAGGGGUUCUGAGAGGAAGGUCCCCCACACUGGUACUGAGACACGGACCAGACUCCUACGGGAGGCAGCAG
rnacentral:rRNA from 1 species